AACCCAUGAUGAGGACAUUCUUUAAUAAACUUUUGAAUUUCUCUCAUUCUUUAAAUAAUGAUUCUCCAUUUGCUUGAGUAAAAUUUGUGAUGCAAUUUCUCAUAU